AGCUAACCUUAGCAUCUUCUGAUGCAGCCUCCCUUCCUGUUGUUCUAGACUAAAUAAUUCAUAGUUUAGGAUAUACAUUACAAUUUGAUUCCUAUAGAUUGAAUUGGUGUGAGAAAGGUCCCAGGGUAAGACUACAGCCUUGUGGGUCGUAGGUAUGGCUGGUGUGUUUGAAGGGGCACAGAGGUAUGGAAAGGUCCUUCACAAAGAAGGACUCUUCUUUGUGAAGCUGACCCCCCCCCCACCACCAUGAGCUUGAUCACAUGUCCUCUGAGGCCUGGAACCAUUGAAUUGUUAUAUGUAAAAUUUCGCCUCUCUUUCCAACUGGAACCAUGGAGGGUGUAGAAAAGAAGAAGAAGAAGAAGGUUCCUGCUGUGCCAGAAACCCUUAAGAAAAAGCGAAGGAAUUUCGCAGAGCUGAAGAUCAAGUGCCUGAGAAAGAAGUUUGCCCAAAUAAUGCUUCGAAAGCAAGGAGGAAGCUUAUCUAUGAAAAGGAGAAGCAUUAUCACAAGGAAUAUAGGCAGAUGUACAGAACUGAAAUUCGAAUGGUGAGGAUGGCAAGGAAAGCUGGCAACUUCUAUGUACCUGCAGAACCCAAACUGGCGUUUGUCAUCAGGAUCGGAGGUAUCAAUGGUGUGAGCCCAAAGGUCCGAAAGGUGUUGCAGCUUUUUUGCCUUCGUCAAAUCUUCAAUGGAAACUUUGUGAAGCUCAACAAGGCUUCAGUUAACAUGCUGAGGAUUGUAGAGCUAUAUAUUGCAUGGGGGUACCCAAAUCUGAAGUCAGUAAACGAACUAAUCUACAAACGUGGUUAUGGCAAAAUCAAAAAGAAGCGAAUUGCUUUGACAGAUAAUGCUCUGAUUGCUCGAUCUCUUGGAAAAUAUGGCAUCAUCUGCAUGGAGGAUCUGAUUCAUGAGAUCUAUACUGUUGGAAAACGCUUCAAAGAAGCAAAUAACUUCUUGUGGCCCUUUAAAUCAUCUUCUCCACGGGGUGAAAUGAAGAAAAAGAUCACCCAUUUUGUAGAAGGUGGAGAUGCUGGCAACAGGGAGGACCAGAUCAACAGGCUUAUUAGAAGAAUAAACUAAGGUGUCGCCCAUGAUUAUUUUUCUAAGCCGGUCAGUUAAUAAACAGUACCUGCUCUCAAUUGAAA